rnacentral:tRNA from 1 species
GCAGGAGUCGCCAAGUGGGAAGGCAACGGUCUCCAAAACCGUCAUCGGGGGUCAAUUCCCUCCUCCUGUGCCA